rnacentral:lncRNA from 1 species
UAAAAAUGAUAAAAACAAGCAAUAUUCAAAUAAAAUAUAAUUGAUUCAAAAAACUAUAACAUGCAAUAAAAACUAAUUUAAAUGUUAAAAUUAGCUCCUAAAAUAUUAUAAAAACUAUAUUAAAAUAACUCUAAAUAAGAGAGUUACCACCUACUUAUUAGGAAAUAAAGACUCUAAGAUCUCUCAAAGCUCUCCGCACAUACGGACUUUGUGUGAAGUUCCUUUAGCUCUCUUUUCCUCCACCCUUCUACUACUCUAUAUCAACAAAUAUAAUGAUGC